CCUACGGGUGGCAGCAGUGGGGAAUAUUGGACAAUGGGCGAAAGCCUGAUCCAGCCAUGCCGCGUGUGUGAAGAAGGCCUUCGGGUUGUAAAGCACUUUCAGUGGGGAAGAAAGCCUUGGGGCUAAUACCCUCGAGGAAGGACAUCACCCACAGAAGAAGCACCGGCUAACUCCGUGCCAGCAGCCGCGGUAAUACGGAGGGUGCGAGCGUUAAUCGGAAUUACUGUGCGUAAAGCGCGCGUAGGCGGUCUGAUAAGCCGGUUGUGAAAGCCCCGGGCUCAACCUGGGAACGGCAUCCGGAACUGUCAGGCUAGAGUGCAGGAGAGGAAGGUAGAAUUCCCGGUGUAGCGGUGAAAUGCGUAGAGAUCGGGAGGAAUACCAGUGGCGAAGGCGGCCUUCUGGACUGACACUGACGCUGAGGUGCGAAAGCGUGGGUAGCAAACAGGAUUAGAUACCCUAGUAGUC
rnacentral:rRNA from 1 species